ACUUAGUCAAAUAUUCGCUUUCAUUUUUCGGGCAAAUAAUGUCUGCCUCUGCGAGUAAUAUAGCUCAAGAAGUAGAAUUAUGCUACAUGCUACAGGUGACUUUAAAAAUUUUUGACUGUUGAAAGAAAGCCC
rnacentral:lncRNA from 1 species